AGCCUAACUGAGGUUCUCUCUCUGUGCGACCCGUCACUUGACCAGACCCGAACCCGGAGAUCAGACUGGUUCUCCGCCUUCCGGCCACCUCCGGACGACGUACCAGCCGUUUUUGACGCACCUUCUCUCGCCAGUGAGGUUUCCGGUCGUCCCUUGCUCCAAUCAUCAACCAGUGGAGCGAAUCAAAGCAAAAAAGAGCUCGGAAGGCCGCGCGCUCAACCCGACCAAAGAUUCCUUUUCAGACCACCUCAAGCCGCCUUUGCCUCGCUGAUCGUCUUAGUACUCGCCAUUUAACUCGAAUCGGCCGAAGAUGGGAGAAUCGAAGCCGAUAAGUUUCGAGCUUCCGGUGAUUUCGACACCUUUUUCGGCGGCUCCAGCGAUCAUUUGACGUGCAUGAGGUGAUAACCUUGGUCUCCUCUUCACACUCUACGUAUUGAUAUACAUGGUUUUUUAUUUUAGUCGACUUUUGAAGAUUUGGUGUUUUGGGGGUUCUCGAUCUCCGUAUGUGCCUCGGUCUGUUAUGCUGUUUUUGGAUUUCUUAGGUCGUUUCGGGCUCAACUAUAUGUGUCGGAGUGAUAUUUGAUGGUUGUUGUGCUUAAAAUGCAAAAUUGGUGAAUUCGUGGAGAGAGUGAGCGAAGGGAGAGGUCCCCAAAUUGCUGUGUUCCUUAUCGUGAAAGUGCAGCAGCAGGUCAGAGACCAUUCUUUGAUUUUGCAAGUAUAAGUGGAGCUGGAAAUUAUGUUGAAAUGGCUUUGGAGUUCUAAAGUGAAUCAUGGUUGUUGUUGUUGGGUUUGAAUCUCCCGGGUUGUAUGUUUAAAUUACAGAACUUUGGAGACCGGGUUGGAGACCAGAGAAUUUGACAGUCAUUGUUAUAGUUAUUAAGGAGUAGUCGCUGCUACUGCGGUGGAUACCAAGCCUAGCGGGAAUGCUUGAAUGUUCAAUUACUCAUGUUUUGAAGGUCUGAAAACUAAAGGUUGAUGCUUGUGACCGAGUUCCAAUUCGAUGGCAAAAUGAGAUGUAUAUGAGAAAGUUAUUCGAGGAACGAAAGGUUCAUAAGUCUUGGACGACGAAUCGAGCCAUUGCUCGACGAGCAAAUCCUUAAGCGUGACUGCUCAAGUUGUAUACUAGAAAGCCAGAUAACCAACUUGGAAUGAAGAAAUGAGGAAAAGUGGAAAUCAAAACCUGUUCUCUUUGAAGAUUUUGCAAUUCUGGCGUUUGUAGGGGUCCAUUCAGAUGUAGUUGUCAUGACCGAAACAGAAAGAGGAAGACUUUGAGAAAUACAAAGGUCUGGAAGAUUUGGAAUUUAUAUAAGGGGUUCAAACCAAGUGAAUCUUCUCUGACCUGUAUCUUUGGUUUGUUCGAUAAGUUGCCGGAAUUGAUGCAGAGACAAUGAGUUUGGGUACAAGUACAAUGGCUAGCAGUGACUAAAUUGUGUGUUGCAACUUGCAAGAGAUUAUGGAUAGUCAGCGUUGGAUUGCAGGGAUACUUUGACUGGCUGUCCGUUGAUAUCAUAAUCUUGGUGGAAGCUUGAAGCCUUGAAGUGACUUCAAGAAACAUGUAUUCACAUAAAUGGCAAGCUAUAGCAUGCAUGUUGCUACAAUUAAUCCAUAGCAGGAAGGCUGAUGGGGAAUUCUAAUGACAUGAAAUCUAAAAGCACAGGACCGCUUUUUUGGUAGUGCAUGAAAUCUAAAAAGCAGAGGACCACUUUUUUGUGGCCGCAUUUUUUUUUAAUUUUUUUUGUUUACAAGUUUGAGAGUUGAAUACAUUUGUUUCAAGUUUUAAAUAUUUACAAUUUGUAGAAUUUGGAAAAUAAAGAUGACGAGGAAG